CGCUGAAGAAGAUUCCCAACAUGGCCUGAAAGAGAACAGAGGGGUUCAACGGGAGGCUCGGGGCCACAGCAGAGGUCAGUGCGGAGGUCAGUGCGGAGGUCAGAGCGGCGGUCAGAGCGGAGGUCAGAGCGGAGGACAGAGCGGAGGUCAGUGCGGAGGUCAGUGCGGACCACCUGAGACUCUGACAAAUACCUGGAAGAAUCAUUACCAUCCCAUAAACGAUGUUCACUGCUCCAGUAAAUAGGACGAACCUUAGAUACGACUUUGCAGUGGGAGAUAUUUCUAGUUCCACUCAGAGAACUAACGUUACGUUACGAACCAGAGUUACUAAACUUAAACUUGUGUUUGACCAGUUAAAUGCUUUUAAUUUGACAUUUUUAACGUUUUAUCAAAUAAUUUCCAGCACUUUCUUACAAACACACUAAUAUAUAUUAAUGUUUCCAAUCAGAUAGAAUUUAUUUUAUUUGACAGAAAAUUGAUCUUCUACAGUUAAAGAGGAAAUUACACAAUAAUUAACAUCCUCUAAUAAACCCUGAAUACCAACAUCAACAGAUUAUUAUUGUUAUUCAAUAUGUCAAUACUUUCAGUUCAUUAUUAAUAAAAUGAUUUAAUUGUUUCUCUGUUUGUUGGAGCUGCAGUGAAGAUUACCGACGCACUCUCAGGAACAUUAUUAUUGAUUAUUGAUCCAAUAACUACAGACUCACAACUCCUGCGACACUUUUCAGAAACGGAUCCAGUUUGGUGUCAAACACAAUAAUGUUUAAAUGUUUAAAUCACGUUAAGUUCAAUGAAAAAAUAAUUAUUUAUAACAAUUUAUUUAAAGUUUGAGUUCAAAUAUUGAUGGUGAAAACAGCUGAUUCAUGUUUCUGUGUUUUAUUAAUAGUUAAUAAUUUUAUUGACCCGCUGGUUUUGGAGAAGUAUUAAUGAUUAAUGUCCUAAUAAAGUCAAUGUCUGUUGGACUCAAUCAGUUAAUAACAAUAAAAACAAUACACGUAUGGAUCCAUAAUGGAACCAAUCAUUAGCUGCAGCCACACUAAUAAUAAUAACAAUAAUAAUAAUAACAAUAAUAAUAACACUAAUAACAAUAAUAAUAAUAAUAAUAAUAAUAAUCUGAACUUCCUGUUGGAGACAAACUGACUUCCUGUUCUGAAACAUCACAUGAGGCCAAACAUAGAAAGUCACAUGAUUCCUUUUUCUGUCUCUUUAGUUCCUGAAUUCAAACAGUUAUUGAUGAGAAUCUUCUGAAUAUUGAUGGAAAAUGUUUGUAAUCAAUCAGAAAUCAACUGUUUAUAUUUUAAUAUCUGUGCCACCAGCAUUUAAUCUGAGUAUCCAGACUGUAGACGCCUCCAUAACGUUAAUUACACAGGCACAAGCCAACUGAUCGAUCCAGCGCUGUAUCGAUUAUUGAUUACAAGAGCAGAACAGAAUCUAACGUUAUUGUACAUUUAGCUAGGCCUCCUCGGGCUCCGUCUAUUUACCGGAACAGACUUCACCCUCAGGUAUUACUGUGUGACAGACGGUUUGUUUUUCAUCAUUUUUAAAGUCUAAACAAUCUAAAUAAAUAACAAUAAUCAUAAAAACAACAACUGAAACGUUACUUUAAGAUAAAAACGUCUCGUUGGACGCUCCUCAGUGUGAGUCCAGGAAAUAGACGGAGCCCCGUUCUCUUACCAGCAUUAUGACCCCCCAGAUGCUGAUCACUAUCCCGCAGGCGGCCAUCUUCGGCCCGCAGAACAGAAGCGACGGCAUGCCUGAGCUCGGUGUUAUCGAUCAAUCAGAAGCGGGUUUUAUUUCUGAUUCAAUGAUCGGAGAAAUGU